AUUUUUGAGCAAUUUAAUUGAGAUGACAAGAAAAAGACAAUGAAAUUCUAGUCAAGGUGGGCUUUUAUCCAAUUCUUCGGAGCUACAAGAACAACAAAUGGGAGGUACGACAAUGCCCUAACCACCUCAAAACUAGCCACAAAAUGAAAGAUAAGCUAUCCGAUCUGGUAACUUGUCAAGAAAUGAUUUACAUGAUGUAGAAAAUCUCUCAGAUUCUAAUGAGUGAAGAAAAAUCUGAGCGACCAAGGUGUCCCACUAUGAUGCACUUAGGAUGGGAAAAUGAUGGUAGAAAUUUACAUGUUGAGUUUAGAUUGAGUUCUAAACUUGGUGUCAUAGCAUGAAAUGGCAUCUUAGUGGCAUUGAAUUUGGAGGCUUCUGCCUAAUAUGUUCAAGGAUAUAAUAUGGGCUCAUACUAAGAAAAAUACCGAUGCAACUGAUCAGAUGAUAUGAGACAUAUGUUGAUGAUAUCAGUUGGAUCUAAAUGGAAAGAAUGGAAGCAUGAAGCAAAAAGAUGUGGUUAUGAACCAUAUGGUACUGAUAUUGAGCUCUUAGCUCAUCAUUCGAAUAGGGUUGAAGAAGAUCAGUGGUGGCGUUCAUUAGUUCAUUAUUAGAGCUCAAAUGCUGCAAAGUGAAUUGUGUCAUUAAAUAAAUAUAGUCUUAUCCUUACUUUCUUAUAAUGACUCAUUAUCAUCGGUUUUAGUUGUUCACACAAGUAAGGUGAGUUUUAGCAUUGUGUACUAGUUCAACAUCAAAGUUGUGAGUUUAAUUGCCAGGUGUUGUGAUCUUAUUUUUUAAGUAGAAUAUGUGGGAAUUAGUUGUUGAUAUAUCGAAUAUGCAGAAAAUUUUGUACUGUGGCUGCAACCCGAUUGAGUUGUAGUGCAAACAGAUUUCGGACAGUAGUUUUAUACCUCCCUUAGAAUGCAUUUGGUAAAAAACUACCUUUUCUAUACAUCUCCACCAUUCCUUUAUUUCUCCUCAGUUCAGUAGUUAGACAAAUGCAAUAAAUGCAAUAUCAUCAUCAGAUUCGUUGUAUUUAUUUUUGUAUGUUCUGUUGUUUGGAGAUUUGAGAAUAUCUUAUAACUUUGUGAAGCUCAAUUUAUUUCUGGUUAUUAUCUUUCAAGAUAUGGGAGUUAUAAGUAGGAUAAUUUUAGCUUGGCUUAUUGCUUUAUAAUUUUUGCCUCUUCUGCUUUGGUUUGGUUUGAUGAAAGUUCAGUCACUAUUUGGUUGAAGUAUGCUUAAUUUUAGCCUUUUCUUUUAAUUGUUCAUUUGUGUGUUAGCAUUUUAAGAAUUGAUGAGUCUGUACUGGAUGAUAUCUUUGUGAUUUAUAAAUAGUGGAGCUUAUAGUUCAAAAGAACUUUUACAAUGCUGUCAGAGAAGGAAAUCUAGUAUAAAGGUGUUGUCAUAUGUAUUCAGUGUUGCCUCUAGACUUUUGCUUGUAAAUUAAAGUUCUUAUGCUAUUUUUGUAGAAGUGUGCAACAUUCUAGGGCUAUAUAAGCUUUGUCUUGUUGAUGUAUCUUGUACUCUACACUCAAUUUUGAAUUCUACAAACUAUCAAAGUAACCUUUCUAAUAUUUAUUUCUCAGGUUAACAAAAUUAAAAAAAAAAACGAAACUAACGAACUUGGGACCAAAAGAGAAGUGAACUUCUGAAGGAUGUAAGAUCAAUUAUUGGCAAGGAAUACUUGACUUGUGGAUAGAUGAAUUCGUAAAUCCUUAACUUGUUGCAGAAUUUAUUCUAGAAGUUAAGGGAAUUCAUUAAGAUUAAGAGUGAAUUUGACAUAGUUCCAUGUUAAAAUUACUUUAUCUUUUAUGAUUUAGUUAGAACUAAGUUUUAUUUGAGAUAAAACAGGUCAUUUGAUUUGAACUCUAACUUGUAAGGAGAACCUUGAUUAUGUCAGUACUAUGUUCUUUGAAUACGAUGUCCAAAGACAAUUUUA